rnacentral:rRNA from 1 species
CUGGCUCAGGAUGAACGCUAGCGGCAGGCUUAACACAUGCAAGUCGAGGGGCAACGCGAGUAGCAAUACUUGGCGGCGACCGGCGCAAGGGUGCGUAACGCGUGAGCAACAUGCCCGUAUCAGGGGGAUAAUCCAGGGAAACUUGGUCUAAUACCCCAUAGUAAUUUUGUAAGGCAUCUUAUAAGAUUUAAAGCUUUGGUGGAUACGGAUUGGCUCGCGUGACAUUAGCUGGAUGGUAAGGUAACGGCUUACCAUGGCUAUGAUGUCUAGGGGUUCUGAGAGGAAGGUCCCCCACACUGGAACUGAGACACGGUCCAGACUCCUACGGGAGGCAGCAGUGAGGAAUAUUGGACAAUGGAUGGAAAUCUGAUCCAGCCAUGCCGCGUGAAAAGGAAGAAGGUCCUAUGGAUUGUAAACUUCUUUUGUAUGGGAGCAAUAAGGCCUACGAGUAGGUUGAUGAGGGUACCAUACGAAUAAGCACCGGCUAACUCUGUGCCAGCCGCCGC